UGCAGCCGUGUCAAAUUCAGUGCCCACCCACCAUGGCGGACACUGGCCCAAAAGGCUGCCACAGAAAAACUGUGGCUCAUGGGCCCUGAACCCUCUGCUGGGCUUCAGGGAUAAAUUGGUUACAGACAACG
ensembl:snoRNA SNORA5A small nucleolar RNA, H/ACA box 5A